ACAAUAACAUUCGGACUAUCGGUCUACCGAGCAAUAUCAUCCGCUCGGUGGAAGAUCUUCCCUUUGUCGUUUAAG
rnacentral:pre_miRNA from 1 species